GUGAGGAAUAUUGGUCAAUGGGCGAGAGCCUGAACCAGCCAAGUCGCGUGAAGGAAGAAGGAUCUAUGGUUCGUAAACUUCUUUUGCAGGGGAAUAAAGUGCAGGACGUGUCCUGUUUUGUAUGUACCCUGAGAAUAAGGAUCGGCUAACUCCGUGCCAGCAGCCGCGGUAAUACGGAGGAUCCGAGCGUUAUCCGGAUUUAUUGGGUUUAAAGGGUGCGUAGGUGGUUUGAUAAGUCAGCGGUGAAAGUUUGCAGCUUAACUGUAAAAAUGCCGUUGAAACUGUCGGACUUGAGUGUAAAUGAGGUAGGCGGAAUGCGUGGUGUAGCGGUGAAAUGCAUAGAUAUCACGCAGAACUCCGAUUGCGAAGGCAGCUUACUAAGCUACAACUGACACUGAAGCACGAAAGCGUGGGGAUCAAACAGGAUUAGAAACCAGAGUAGUCC
rnacentral:rRNA from 1 species